GACGAACGCUGGCGGCGUGCCUAACACAUGCAAGUCGAACGGAGAAUUAGCAAUAAUUCUUAGUGGCGAACGGGUGAGUAACGCGUAGACAACCUACCCUUUAGAUGGGGACAACACCGCGAAAGUGGUGCUAAUACCGAAUAUUGCUUGAGAAGCGCAUGCCUUUCAAACUAAAGAUGGCCUCUAUUUAUAAGCUAUCGCUAUAGAAUGGGUCUGAGUCUGAUUAGCUAGUUGGUGAGAUAAAAGCUCACCAAGGCGACGAUCAGUAGCCGGUCUGAGAGGAUGACCGGCCACACUGGGACUGAGACACGGCCCAGACUCCUACGGGAGGCAGCAGUGGGGAAUCUUCCGCAAUGGACGAAAGUCUGACGGAGCAACGCCGCGUGAGUGAUGAAGGUUUUCGGAUCGUAAAACUCUGUUGUUAAGGACGAAUGUAUAGAUUGUGAAUAAUGGUUUAUAAUGACGGUACUUAACGAGGAAGCCACGGCUAACUACGUGCCAGCCGCCGCCGUAA
rnacentral:rRNA from 1 species